rnacentral:tRNA from 1 species
GCCGGGGUGGCGAAAUGGCAGACGCGCCAGCCUUAGGAGCUGGUGGCCGCAAGGCCGUGCGGGUUCGAGUCCCGCUCCCGGCA